rnacentral:rRNA from 1 species
ACCUGGUUGAUCCUGCUAAUACUCAAAUUCUUGUCUCAACGAUUAAGCCAUCCAUGCCUAAGUAUGAACUAAUUGAUAAUACCACACUACUCAGAUAACCAUAGAAAUUCUAGAGCUAAUACAUCCACCAAGUCCCGACCCUUUGGAAGGGAUGAAUUUUUAAAAUAAAAGGCCAGUGCAGGCUUUCCUGCUUCUUAGGUGAAUCAUGAUAACUCGACGGAUUGGACAUCCCUUGUGUUGGCGAUGCUUCAUCCAAAUUCCUUCCCUAUCGAAUUUCAAUGGUAGGAUAGAGGCCUACCAUGGUGGUGAUAGGUGAUAGAGAAUUAGGGUUCGAUUCUAGAGAGGGAGCGUGAGAAAUGACUACCACAUCAAAGGAAGGUAGUAUGCGCACAAAUUACCCAAUCCUGACAUGUGGAGGUAGUGACAAUAAAUAGCAAUACAAAUCUAGUAUGGUAAUUAGAAUGAGUACAAUCUAAAUCCCUUAAUGAGGAUCCAUUGGAGGGAAAGUUGGGUGCCAGCAACUACGGUAAUUCUAGCUCCAAUAACAUAUAUUUAAGUUGUUGUAGUUAAAAAUCUUGUAGUUAGAUAUUGGGUUGUAAAGGUUGGUCUGCCUACUUGGUGUGCACCUACCCAUCCAUCCCUUUUGUCAGAGGCAUGAUCCUAGUCUUAAUUGGCUGGGUCAUAGCUCCAAUGUUGUUACUUUAAAAAAAAUAGAGUACUCAAAGCAAGCUUAUGCUUUGAAUACAUUAACAUGGAACAAUGUGAUAGGAGUUUGGUCCUAUUGUGUUGGCCUUCAGAACUAAAGUAAUGAUUAAUAGGGACUAUUAGGGGCAUUCAUAUUUCAUUGUCAGAGGUGAUAUUCCUGGAUUUAUGAAAUAUGGAACAUUGCAAAAGAAUUUUUGAAGGAAGUUUUCAUUAUUUAAGAAUGAAAGUUGGGGGCUCGAAGAUGAUCAGAUACCAUCCUAGUAUUAACAAUAAAUGAUGAUUCUCAGGGAUCGAUGGAUGUUUCUCUAAGGACUGCAUUGGUAGCUUCUGAGAAAUUAGAGUGUUUUGGUUCUGGGGGCUUAUGGCCACAAGGUUGAAACUUAAAGGAAUUAAUGAAAGGGAACCACCAAGAGUGGAGUGGAGCCUUUGGAUUAAUUUGACUCAACAUGGGGAAACUUACCAAGUCCAAACAUAGUAAGGAUUAAUAUAUCAAGAGUUAUUUCUUGAUUCUAUGGGCGGUGGUGCAUGGUCAUUCUUAGUUGGUCGAGAGAUUUGUCUGGUUAAUUCCCAUAACGAACAAUACCUCAGCCUACUAACUAGCUACGCAGAUGUUCCCCUUUGCUGCCAACUUCUUAGAGGGACUACGGUCGCUUAGGCCAUGGAAUUUUGAGGCAAUAAUAGGUCUAUGAUUCCCUUAGAUGGUUCGGGCCACACGCGUGCUAUAAUGAUGCAACCAACUAGUCUUUCUUCUUAGUUUGAGAGGGUCAAGAAAUCUUCUAAAAUUUCAUUGUGGUGGGGAUAGACCAUUGCAAUUAUUGGUCUUCAAUGAGGAAUUUAUAGUAAGCUCAUGUCAUCACCUUGUGUUGACUACAUCCUUUCCCUUUGUAUACAUCACCUGUUGCUCCUACCAACUAAAUGAUCCAGUGAAGCUUUCAGAUUGCGUCGACGAUGGUGGUUCACCACCAUUGAUGUCGUGAGAAGUUCAUUGAACCUUAUCAUUUAGAGGAAGGAGAAGUUGUAACAAGGUUAGCGUAGGUGAAUGUGUGAUAG